rnacentral:rRNA from 1 species
AUUGAACGCUAGCGGGAUGCUUUACACAUGCAAGUCGAACGAGUGGCGGACGGGUGAGUAAUAUAUCGUAACGUGCACAGUAGCGGGGGAUAACUCCACGAAAGAGUGGCUAAUACCGCAUACUAUGGUACCGGCCGAUAUCGGAUUAGCUAGUUGGGGGGGUAAAGGCUAACAAAGGCAACGAACAGUAGAGGGUUUGAGAGGACGACAAGCCACACUGGGACUGAGACACGGCCCAGACUCCGAAGGGAGGCAGCAGUGGGGAAUUUUGGGCAAUGGGGGAAACCCUGAUCCAGCCAUGCCGCGUGUAUGAGAAGGCCUUCGGGUUGUAAAGUACUUUUGGCAGAGAAGCGGUAUCUGCAGAAUAAGCACUGGCUAACUACGUGCCAGCCGCCGCGGUAAUAC